AACGAACGCUGGCGGCAGGCUUAACACAUGCAAGUCGAGCGCCCCGCAAGGGGAGCGGCAGAUGGGCGAGUAACGCGUGGGAAUCUACCCAUCUCUACGGAAUAACGCAUGGAAACGUGUGCUAAUACCGUAUACGUCCUUCGGGAGAAAGAUUUAUCGGAGAUGGAUGAGCCCGCGUUGGAUUAGCUAGUUGGUGGGGUAAAGGCCUACCAAGGCGACGAUCCAUAGCUGGUCUGAGAGGAUGAUCAGCCACACUGGGACUGAGACACGGCCCAGACUCCUACGGGAGGCAGCAGUGGGGAAUAUUGGACAAUGGGCGCAAGCCUGAUCCAGCCAUGCCGCGUGAGUGAUGAAGGCCCUAGGGUUGUAAAGCUCUUUCACCGGUGAAGAUAAUGACGGUAGCCGGAGAAGAAGCCCCGGCUAACUUCGUGCCAGCCGCCGCGGUAAGAC
rnacentral:rRNA from 1 species